rnacentral:rRNA from 1 species
AGCGAACGCUGGCGGCAGGCCUAACACAUGCCAGUCGAACGAACUCUUCGGAGUUAGUGGCGGACGGGUGAGUAACACGUGGGAACGUGCCUUUUGGUUCGGAAUAACUCAGGGAAACUUGUGCUAAUACCGAAUGUGCCCUUCGGGGGAAAGAUUUAUCGCCAUUAGAGCGGCCCGCGUCUGAUUAGCUAGUUGGUGAGGUAACGGCUCACCAAGGCGACGAUCAGUAGCUGGUCUGAGAGGAUGACCAGCCACACUGGGACUGAGACACGGCCCAGACCCCUACGGGAGGCAGCAGUGGGGAAUCUUUCGCAAUGGGCCAAAACCUGACGCAGCCAUGCCGCGUGAAUGAUGAAGGGCUUAGGAUUGUAAAAUUCUUUCACCGGGGACGAUAAUGACGGUACCCGGAGAAGAAGCCCCGGCUAACUUCGUG